UACGCAUCCAGAGGGGUGGAGGGUUAUGGCCCGACGAAGCCCCGGCAACCCCCCGUAAGGGGAAGGUGCCAAUUCCAUCAGGCAAAGCAACAAGCCUGGGAGAUGUGGU
rnacentral:ncRNA from 2 species